rnacentral:rRNA from 1 species
GAUGGUUGGUCUGUUCGACCAUUAAAAUCCUACGUGAUCUGAGUUCAGACCGGCGGGAGCCAGGUCAGUUUCUAUCCACGAUUUUAAAAAAAAUAGUUUUUCUUAGUACGAAAGGACCAGAAAGGCGGUACCCCUGCUUAAAGGUAUGUACUGUAACAGU